AUGAUGGCGUCCUCUGCAGCACCGGCGUCGUCCUCCGCAGCACCGGCGUGCCGGGACAUGGCGCCCGCCGGCAUUCCCACGAUCGACAUGUCCGCGCCGGCGGGGCGGGCGGAGCUGUCCCGCCAGAUGGUGGAGGCGUUCGGCGAGCGCGGAUUCUUCAAGGCGGUCAACCACGGCGUGCCGCUGCGGGUGUCCGCCCGGCUGGACGCGGCCAGCGCGGCGUUCUUCGCGCGCCCGGCGGAGGAGAAGCAGCGGGCCGGCCCGCCGGACCCCCUGGGCUACGGCAGCCGGAGCAUCGGCUCCCACGGCGACGUCGGCGAGCUGGAGUACCUGAUCCUCCACACGGACCCCGAGGUGGUGGCUCGCAAGGCCAGGGCCAUCGAUAGGGACGACCCUUCGCGAUUCAGUGAGGCGGUAAACGAGUACGUGCAGGCGGUGAGGCACCUCGCCUGCCAGAUACUUGACCUGCUGGGCGAAGGCCUGGGCCUCCGGGACCCUGCGUCCUUGAGCAGGCUCGUCACGACCACGGACAGCGACUCCCUCGUCCGAAUCAACAACUACCCACCUUCAGCCACCGGCGAUGGCGGCGUGAAAGCCGCGAGCGCCGUCGGGUUCGGGGAGCACUCCGACCCACAGAUCCUCAGCGUCCUCCGUGCCAAUGAUGUCGAUGGCCUGCAGGUGCUCCUGCCGGACGGCCGCGGCGAGGACGCCUGGGUGCAAGUUCCGGCUGACCCUGCCGCCUUCUUCAUCAACGUCGGUGACCUUCUUCAGGCUUUGACAAAUGGGAAGCUGGUGAGCAUCCGGCAUAGGGUGAUGGCCAGCACCAGCAAGCCAAGGCUGUCAGCUAUCUACUUCGCGGCGCCGGCGUUGCACGAGUGUGUCUCGGCGCUCCCAGAGACGGUGACCGCCGACGCGCCGCGUCGGUACCGGCCGUUCACCUGGGCGGAAUACAAAAAGACGAUGUACACGCUUCGUCUGAGCCACAACCGCCUCGACCUCUUCAAAGUCGUCGGUGAAGGAUGUGGUUGA
rnacentral:rRNA from 1 species